AAGAGUGUAGUUUAAUGGUUAAAACAAUGGUCUCCAAAACCGUAAAUGAAGGUUCGAUUCCUUUCACUCUUGCCA
rnacentral:tRNA from 1 species